rnacentral:rRNA from 1 species
AGUGAACGCUGGCGGUAGGCCUAACACAUGCAAGUCGAACGGCAGCACAGUAAGAGCUUGCUCUUACGGGUGGCGAGUGGCGGACGGGUGAGGAAUACAUCGGAAUCUACUUUUUCGUGGGGGAUAACGUAGGGAAACUUACGCUAAUACCGCAUACGACCUACGGGUGAAAGCAGGGGAUCUUCGGACCUUUCGCGAUUGAAUGAGCCGAUGUCGGAUUAGCUAGUUGGCGGGGUAAAGGCCCACCAAGGCGACGAUCCGUAGCUGGUCUGAGAGGAUGAUCAGCCACACGGAAACUGAGACACGGUCCAGACUCCUACGGGAGGCAGCGGUGGGAAAUAUUGGACAAUGGGCGCAAGCCUGAUCCAGCCAGACCGCGUGGGUGAAGAAGGCCUUCGGGUGGUAAAGCCCUUUUGUUGGGAAAGAAAAGCAGCAGGUUAAUACCCCGCUGUUCGGACGGUACCCAAAGAAUAAGCACCGGCUAACUUCGU